GUUUUGAUUUAAUAUUUCUAAUUGGUAGAAAUAUUAUUUUAAUUACACAUGAAACCAACAACAACAAUAAGGAUGAUUAAAUUUAUUUAUGCAUUUUAAUUUGAUUAUGAUGCAUGAUGGAUGGUUAUGGACUAAAGACCAAUGCGAUUGCUCUUUAUAUGGUUGAAUGUUUGUAUAUUCAUAAAUAGGGACUGUGUUCCCUGCCUUCUCUUAUAUUCUGUGUUGUAAAUUCUUUUCUCAUCUUACUCCCCUCGAAUGAAACUCGGGGUUUCAAUUUCUGAAAUAUGUAAACGUUAUAUAGUUUUUAGAAAGAGUAGAUAAGAAAAUUAUUUAUGAAUGUAAGCAGAAAGAGGAGCUGAUGAAUAUACUUCAAGGAGCUGCUAAGAAGACUUGUGAAGUCCUACAAUGCUACUACCUAGGUUUUUGACCCUAUAAUUUUCUCAAAUGGCUCGAGAAAAUUAUUUAGUAAAGUCCAUAAUCAUCCAAUUAGAAAUGCAUGCUAAGGGUGUAUGUUAUAUAUAUGUGAUGUAUGAUAUUGCUAGCAUGUUAAUUAAUGAGAUCUAAAAAUUGGCAUAGACCCAAAAUCCCUCAUUCAAAUAUUAAGUACAUGUUAUGAACAUGAUGCCUUCCAUUGUUAUAGUAUAAAUCUGAGUUCUAUAUUAAAGUUAACUUGUUGAGCACACUCAAGGUUGCUUUUCUCUCAAACAUGUUUAUGGCUAUGAAAUAUUGGAUAUUUGUGAACAAUGGGUUUUACUUAACUGAUUUACAUGAUUUGGAUGAGCACACUCAUGAUCAUGUAGAAUCAGAGGCAUAGUUUGGAGAAACAAAAAAUUAUGUUUAGACAAAUAGUUGUCACCUAACUGAUCUAGGAGUCACAUAGAGAUGUGAUUGAUAAAUAGUUAUCUACCUAAUUUAAUUUUAUUUUGAUUUGUUGAGCACACUCAAGGUCAAAUAAAAUUAAAUGGGGUCCUAGCCCACUAAGGAAAUUAAUGCGUUAAAUUUCCCGAAUUAAUGGUGAGGGCUAUUAAUUUGAGUAAAAUAGUGGGAGACCAAAUGGAUAUUAAAGACCUUAUAUUAAUUUGGUUAAUGAAAAUCAUAUACAUGAAAUUAAUACAAUUUUUAUCUUUGUAUCUGUAGAUCACUAAUAUCACCAUGAGUAACAACCAUUCCCUACGUAGCAUACCGGAUGCUAAUAAGUUAACUGGACCAAAUUUCUUGGACUGGUAUAGAAACUUGAGAAUUGUUCUCAAGCAAGAAAAGAGGCUAUAUGUCCUUGAACAUGCCAAACCCAGUAUUCCUCCUGUUGAUGCUCCUGAAGAGGUACUAAGUGAGUUCAUUCGUCAUACAGAUGAUGAUGAGCAAGCCACAUGUGUGAUGUUGGCUAGCAUGUCUCCUGAACUUCAAAGGCAGCAUGAGAAUAUGGAUUCUCGAACAAUCAUUUUGCAUCUCAAGGAGUUGUUUGAUUCAAAAUGCAGGAGUGAAAGGUAUGAGGUAUCAAGGGAAUUGUUCCGCUGUAAGAUGACAAAAGGAUCUUCGGUGAAUGUUCAUGUUCUGAAGAUGAUUGGCUAUAUUGAAAAAUUAGGCCAAUUGGGUUUUGUCAUGGAUCAUGAGUUAAGUAUUGAAUUGGUCUUACAGUCUCUACCUCCUAGCUUCUCACAGUUCAUAAUGAACUUCAACAUGAAUCAGUUGGAAACUACAUUGCCUGGACUGUUGGGGAUGCUAACUACUGCUGAAGGGGAACUUAAGAAGAACAAGUCCCCUGUUCUUAUGGUUCAAUCUUCUAAGACCAAAUCCAAAAGGUCCAAGAAAAAGAACAAUAAGAAGAAAGGGACUUUCCCUAAAGCACUCAAGCCUACUGGGGGCAUUAAAAAGGACAAAGGUACUUGCCAUCACUGUGGCAAAGAAGGUCACUGGAGGAGGAACUGUGCUGAUUAUCUUGCUGCACUGAAGGAGAAGAAGCUUAAUGAAGUUUCUACUUCAGGAACUAAGAAGACUUAGACCUUUACAGAAAGGUGAAAUGGACCUACGGGUUGGAAAUGGAGCAAGGGUUGCUGCUUUAGCCGUAGGAAUAUGUAUUUUGUCUCUGCCUACGGGCCUUUUGCUUGAACUUGAUAACUGUUAUUUUGUUCUAGUACUAACUAGAAAUAUCAUAUCUGUAUCUUGCCUAGCACUGAAUGGUUUUAAAUUUAUUAUUGAAGGCAAAUGUUGUUCCUUUUAUAAUAAUGAUAUUUUC
rnacentral:misc_RNA from 1 species